GCGGGAUGCCUUACACAUGCAAGUCGAACGGCAGCACGGACUUCGGUCUGGUGGCGAGUGGCGAACGGGUGAGUAAUGUAUCGGAACGUGCCUAGUAGCGGGGGAUAACUACGCGAAAGCGUAGCUAAUACCGCAUACGCCCUUCGGGGGAAAGCAGGGGAUCGCAAGACCUUGCACUAUUGGAGCGGCCGAUAUCGGAUUAGCUAGUUGGUGGGGUAACGGCUCACCAAGGCGACGAUCCGUAGCUGGUUUGAGAGGACGACCAGCCACACUGGGACUGAGACACGGCCCAGACUCCUACGGGAGGCAGCAGUGGGGAAUUUUGGACAAUGGGGGAAACCCUGAUCCAGCCAUCCCGCGUGUGCGAUGAAGGCCUUCGGGUUGUAAAGCACUUUUGGCAGGAAAGAAACGUCCCGGGAUAAUACCCCGGGAAACUGACGGUACCUGCAGAAUAAGCACCGGCUAACUACGUGCCAGCAGCCGCGGUAAUACGUAGGGUGCAAGCGUUAAUCGGAAUUACUGGGCGUAAAGCGUGCGCAGGCGGUUCGGAAAGAAAGAUGUGAAU
rnacentral:rRNA from 1 species